GGACCUGAACAGAAAGCUGACAGAGCGUCACGUCGUCUUCAACAAGAUGUUAACGCUCUUCAUGGUUUGCUUCCUUUAUCUGCCAUGUAUUAAGGGUGCCUCUAAUACCAACAGUGUCUUCCAAACGCCUCCUUUCAUCAUUAAGAAAACUGGUGAAUCGGUUACCAGUGAGAUCAACUGUUCACACAGCAUAACAGGCUAUGAUCGAAUUCUGUGGUACAAACAGGACGAGCAGAAAGCUCUAAAGCUCCUGGGAUAUCUGAAUGUGAUCCACUCAUACCCCGAGGUUGACGUGAAAGGAAAAAUCAACUUUGACGGAGAUGGCCGUACACAUUCCGACAUCACCGUUUCUUAUCUGUCAUUAAAUGACAACGGUGUGUAUUUCUGUGCUGCCAGUAAGCACAGUGCUGCAGAUUCCUCUCAAGUCAACACAAAAACUCUUAUCUGUCUGCAGAGAGACAGCAUGUUUAGGCGCUCCAACACCUGCAGCUUUGAAGAUUACAUAUUACUGUUAAGACACAAGUGUGACCCACUCUGAGGAUAAAACUACUGCAACACACAUUCAUUUUGUCACUUUG